CUACGGGAGGCAGCAGUGAGGAAUUUUCCACAAUGGACGAAAGUCUGAUGGAGCGACGCCGUGUGUGCGAUGAAGUCCUUCGGGAUGUAAAGCACUGUCAGUGGGGAAGAUAUUGACGGUACCCACAGAGGAAGGCCCGGCUAACUACGUGCCAGCAGCCGCGGUAAUACGUAGGGGCCAAGCGUUGUCCGGAAUUAUUGGGCGUAAAGGGCGUGUAGGCGGCCUGAUAAGUCAGAUGUUAAAUCUACAGGCUCAACCUGUAGCCGCAUUUGAUACUGUCGGGCUAGAGAGUGGUAGAGGAAAGUGGAACUUACGGUGUAGCGGUGAAAUGCGUAGAUAUCGUAAGGAACACCAGUGGCGAAGGCGACUUUCUGGGCCACUUCUGACGCUGAGACGCGAAAGCCAGGGGAGCAAACGGGAUUAGAUACCCCGGUAGC
rnacentral:rRNA from 1 species